rnacentral:rRNA from 1 species
GACGAACGCUGGCGGCGUGCUUAACACAUGCAAGUCGAACGAUGAAGCCGGAGCUUGCUCUGGUGAAUUAGUGGCGAACGGGUGAGUAACACGGGAGUAACCUGCCCUUGACUCUGGGAUGACUGCGGGAAACUGUAGCUAAUACCGGAUACGACCCUCGGAGGCAUCUCCUGGGGGUGGAAAGAAUUUCGGGCAAGGAUGGACUCGCGGCCUAUUAGCUAGUUGGUGAGGUAAAGGCGCACCAAGGCGACGACGGGUAGCCGGCCUGAGAUGGUGACCGGCCACACUGGGACUGAGACACGGCCCAGACUCCUACGGGAGGCAGCAGUGGGGAAUAUUGCACAAUGGGCGCAAGCCUGAUGCAGCGACGCCGCGUGAGGGAUGACGGCCUUCGGGUUGUAAACCUCUCUUAGCAUCGACGAAGCGAAAGUGACGGUAGGUGCAGAAGAAGGACCGGCCAACUACGUGCCAGCAGCCGCAGUAA